rnacentral:rRNA from 1 species
UAGCGGCGAGUGAAGCGGCAAAAGCUCAAAUUUGAAAUCUGGCUCUUUCAGAGUCCGAGUUGUAAUUUGAAGAAGGUAUCUUUGGGUCUGGCUCUUGUCUAUGUUUCUUGGAACAGAACGUCACAGAGGGUGAGAAUCCCGUGCGAUGAGAUGAUCCAGGCCUAUGUAAAGUUCCUUCGAAGAGUCGAGUUGUUUGGGAAUGCAGCUCUAAGUGGGUGGUAAAUUCCAUCUAAAGCUAAAUAUUGGCGAGAGACCGAUAGCGAACAAGUACAGUGAUGGAAAGAUGAAAAGAACUUUGAAAAGAGAGUGAAAAAGUACGUGAAAUUGUUGAAAGGGAAGGGCUUGAGAUCAGACUUGGUAUUUUGUAUGUUACUUCUUCGGGGGUGGCCUCUACAGUUUAUCGGGCCAGCAUCAGUUUGGGCGGUAGGAGAAUUGCGUUGGAAUGUGGCACGGCCUCGGUUGUGUGUUAUAGCCUUCGUCGAUACUGCCAGCCUAGAGCUGAGGA